UUGAAAGGGAAACGAUUGAAGUCAGUCGUACCGACGAGAAAUCAGCUUAUCGUGUGUUAACCUGUGGGCGUGCGUGAGUUUCGGCCUCGCUGUUUGCAUGUUUGUGCGCUUUGGGUGUACUUUUUCGUAUGGUUGGCCAACAUCAGUUUCGAUUACUAUAAAAUGACUGGCGGAAUGUAGCUUCGAUUUCGGUUGAAGUGUUAUAGCCUCUGGUAGAUGUGGUGAUUGAGACUGAGGAUUGCAACGAAUAUCCUUUGGGCUAUCCGUCUGGCCUCUGAAAGUUGCUUGGGUGCUGAAAGCUUGCUUAUGGUUAUCUAAGUUAACGGUCAAUAGGUUAGAACGCGAUUACAUUCGUUAAGGAUGUUGACGUA
rnacentral:rRNA from 1 species